rnacentral:rRNA from 1 species
UGCAAGCCGAGCGGUAGAGAUCUUUCGGGAUCUUGAGAGCGGCGUACGGGUGCGGAACACGUGUGCAACCUGCCUUUAUCUGGGGGAUAGCCUUUCGAAAGGAAGAUUAAUACCCCAUAAUAUACUGAAUGGCAUCAUUCGGUAUUGAAAACUCCGGUGGAUAGAGAUGGGCACGCGCAAGAUUAGAUAGUUGGUGAGGUAACGGCUCACCAAGUCUGCGAUCUUUAGGGGGCCUGAGAGGGUGAUCCCCCACACUGGUACUGAGACACGGACCAGACUCCUACGGGAGGCAGCAGUGAGGAAUAUUGGACAAUGGGUGAGAGCCUGAUCCAGCCAUCCCGCGUGAAGGACGACGGCCCUAUGGGUUGUAAACUUCUUUUGUAUAGGGAUAAACCUACCCUCGUGAGGGUAGCUGAAGGUACUAUACGAAUAAGCACCGGCUAACUCCGUGCCAGCAGCCGCGGUAAUACGGAGGGUGCAAGCGUUAUCCGGAUUUAUUGGGUUUAAAGGGUCCGUAGGCGGAUCUGUAAGUCAGUGGUGAAAUCUCACAGCUUAACUGUGAAACUGCCAUUGAUACUGCAGGUCUUGAGUGUUGUUGAAGUAGCUGGAAUAAGUAGUGUAGCGGUGAAAUGCAUAGAUAUUACUUAGAACACCAAUUGCGAAGGCAGGUUACUAAGCAACAACUGACGCUGAUGGACGAAAGCGUGGGGAGCGAACAGGAUUAGAUACCCUGGUAGUCCACGCCGUAAACGAUGCUAACUCGUUUUUGGAAUGUAAGUUUCAGAGACUAAGCGAAAGUGAUAAGUUAGCCACCUGGGGAGUACGAACGCAAGUUUGAAACUCAAAGGAAUUGACGGGGGCCCGCACAAGCGGUGGAUUAUGUGGUUUAAUUCGAUGAUACGCGAGGAACCUUACCAAGGCUUAAAUGGGAAAUGACAGGUUUAGAAAUAGACUUUUCUUCGGACAUUUUUCAAGGUGCUGCAUGGUUGUCGUCAGCUCGUGCCGUGAGGUGUUAGGUUAAGUCCUGCAACGAGCGCAACCCCUGUCACUAGUUGCCAUCAUUAAGUUGGGGACUCUAGUGAGACUGCCUACGCAAGUAGAGAGGAAGGUGGGGAUGACGUCAAAUCAUCACGGCCCUUACGCCUUGGGCCACACACGUAAUACAAUGGCCGGUACAGAGGGCAGCUACACUGCGAAGUGAUGCAAAUCUCGAAAGCCGGUCUCAGUUCGGAUUGGAGUCUGCAACUCGACUCUAUGAAGCUGGAAUCGCUAGUAAUCGCGCAUCAGCCAUGGCGCGGUGAAUACGUUCCCGGGCCUUGUACACACCGCCCGUCAAGCCAUGGAAGUCUGGGGUACCUGAAGUCGGUGACC